UACGUAGGGUGCAAGCGUUGUCCGGCAUUAUUGGGCGUAAAGAGCUCGUAGGCGGUCUGUCGCGUCGGAUGUGAAAACCCAGGGCUCAACCCUGGGCCUGCAUUCGAUACGGGCAGACUAGAGUUCGGUAGGGGAGACUGGAAUUCCUGGUGUAGCGGUGAAAUGCGCAGAUAUCAGGAGGAACACCGGUGGCGAAGGCGGGUCUCUGGGCCGAAACUGACGCUGAGGAGCGAAAGCGUGGGGAGCAAACAGG
rnacentral:rRNA from 1 species